AUUGAACGCUGGCGGCAGGCCUAACACAUGCAAGUCGAGCGGCAGUUGAACCUUCGGGGAACGUAAAGGGCGGCGAGCGGCGGACGGGUGAGUAAUGCCUGGGAAUAUGCCCUGAUGUGGGGGAUAACUAUUGGAAACGAUAGCUAAUACCGCAUAAUCUCUUCGGAGCAAAGAGGGGGACCUUCGGGCCUCUCGCGUCAGGAUUAGCCCAGGUGGGAUUAGCUUGUUGGUGAGGUAAUGGCUCACCAAGGCAACGAUCCCUAGCUGGUCUGAGAGGAUGAUCAGCCACACUGGAACUGAGACACGGUCCAGACUCCUACGGGAGGCAGCAGUGGGGAAUAUUGCACAAUGGGGGAAACCCUGAUGCAGCCAUGCCGCGUGUGUGAAGAAGGCCUUCGGGUUGUAAAGCACUUUCAGUAGGGAGGAAGGUAGUGUAGUUAACACCUGCAUUAUUUGACGUUACCUACAGAAGAAGCACCGGCUAACUCCGUGCCAGCAGCCGCGGUAAUACGGAGGGUGCGAGCGUUAAUCGGAAUUACUGGGCGUAAAGCGCAUGCAGGCGGCCUGUUAAGUCAGAUGUGAAAGCCCGGGGCUUAACCUCGGAAUUGCAUUUGAAACUGGCAGGCUAGAGUCUUGUAGAGGGGGGUAGAAUUUCAGGUGUAGCGGUGAAAUGCGUAGAGAUCUGAAGGAAUACCAGUGGCGAAGGCGGCCCCCUGGACAAAGACUGACGCUCAGAUGCGAAAGCGUGGGGAGCAAACAGG
rnacentral:rRNA from 1 species